rnacentral:rRNA from 1 species
AACGAACGCUGGCGGCGCGCCUAACACAUGCAAGUCGAACGAGAAGGCGUAGCAAUACGCUUGUAGAGUGGCGAACGGGUGAGUAAUACGUGGGUGACCUACCCUCGAGUGGGGAAUAACCCGCCGAAAGGCGGGCUAAUGCCGCGUACGCUUCCGUCCUCACGGGGACGGAAGGAAAGCUGUACCGUGGGUACGGCGCUCAAGGAUGGGCUCACGUCCUAUCAGCUUGUUGGUGGGGUGAUGGCCUACCAAGGCGACGACGGGUAGCCGGCCUGAGAGGGCGACCGGCCACACUGGGACUGAGACACGGCCCAGACUCCUACGGGAGGCAGCAGUGGGGAAUCUUGCGCAAUGGGCGAAAGCCUGACGCAGCGACGCCGCGUGAGGGAUGACGGCCU